AAAUCGGAGGGAAGAAACAGUACGAAGCUGGACUGAAUGGAGAAAUGCCUGGCAUGAGUGGUGCCGUGAGUCAGCGCAGAUCCAAGCUCUGUCCCUCUGCCCCUCUGCUCUGCUCUUUGCCAGACCACACAGCCUCCCUCCCCUCCUGCCAAGCGUGGCCAGCGUGCCGUCCAGACACAAUCAAGGCCUGAAAAGACGAUGAGAAUGCAGAUCUGGAAAUUCUGGCUGUAAAAUACCCCACAGAAAGGUGAACGAAGAAGGAACCACAAAUAAAGUCACCGCCACUGAGUGUUUACUGUGUGUUAUGGGUUGAACUGUGCCCACCCCCAAAAACCCAUGUGUUCCAGUCCUAACCCCCAGAGUGUGCCCUUAUUUGGAAAUAAGGUUGGUGCAGACACAAUUAGUUAAGCUGAGGUCAUAAGGAGCAGAGUGGGCCCCUUAUCCAAUACGACUGGUGUCCUCACGAAAAGGGAAAAUUUGAACACAGACACACUCAGGGAGAACACCGUGUGAAGAGUGGAGUCACGCUGCCCCAAACCAAGGACCUACCAGAAGCUCCGAGAGAGGCCUGGAACAGAUCCUUCUCUGGAGCUUUCAGAGGGAGCACAACCCUGACGACACCUGGAUCUUGGACUUCCGGCCUCCAGAACUGUGAGACAACAAAUUCCUGUUGUUUCAGCCUCUCAGUUCAUGGUCCUCUGUUACAGCAGCCCUGGCAAAUGCAUAUGAUAUGUAAUAGGUGCUAUGCUAACUGAUUUACAUCCACUGUCUCAUUUAACCCUCGGGACAACCCAUCAAUAGGUACCAUGGUCCGUUUUAUGGAAGAAUAAAUUAAACGAGAGGAAGGGUAAGUAACUUGUUCAAGGCUGAGCUGCUUCAAUCUAAAAGGACAGUGGUAUUCAAAGCCUCGGGCUCAGGGAAGCCCGCCCCACACCCAACCUACCCUAAUUGGGUAAAUCC
rnacentral:lncRNA from 1 species